rnacentral:lncRNA from 13 species
CGUAGGUGGCCUUUGCAAGAGGUUUUGCUGAUAAGGAGCUGAGAAAUGGGACAGUAGCAGAGAGAAGGGAAAGCCAAGGGCGUUCUGGUUGGCUAUCAGAUGAGCCUCUAGAAUACGUGUGCUGCUGAGUGAUCCAGCAUAGGGGAGAGGCUGACGAGGUAAGAGAGAAAAAGGUGGCAGAAGAAAUUGAAACCGUCAGAAGGGGGUUGUCCUGAACUGCAGUGGGGCUUACUGCAUUGGACCAGAGAACACAGAGGCCGGAUUCUGGAUCCAAGUGCUACUGUAUGAGUGCAUGCUGGGAAAUCCUUGAAAGGAGAUGCAAUCCGGUCUCUGGCUCUCCCCUUUCUCUCCACAUGGGUCUGCAAAGACCCUCCAAACUGAGGUGCAGAAAGGAGCGCAGGAAAAUAAGAGAGAGAGAGAGAACCAAGAAGUAAAACAACAGAAACUCCCUCUAAGUAAGUACUGUAGAAACAAACUGAAAAUAGGGCUAGAAAAACAACAGAGGAGGUUCAAGACCAGCCUGAGCAACAUGGCGGAACCCAGAACCCCAUUGCUACUACACAGACACAGACACACACACACACACACACACACACACACACACACACACAUAACACAUAACACAUAA